UUAAGUUCAGCGGGUAUCCCUACCUGAUCCGAGGUCAAAGUGAUAAUAGAGCUUGCUGGAAGGAGGCACGCUGGAGUCGCGACGCAAUGUGCUGCGCACGAAGCCAACUUACCGGCUGCCAAUGAAUUUGAGGCGAGUCCACGCGCGGAGGCGGAACAAACGCCCAACACCAAGCAGAGCUUGAAGGGUUAAAUGACGCU
rnacentral:misc_RNA from 1 species